rnacentral:tRNA from 1 species
GGAGGUAUUGCUCAGUGGUAGAGUGUGUGCUUAGCAUGUGUGAGGUCCUGGAUUCAAUCCCUGGUACCUCCA